UCAGACGUAGCUCAAUCUGGCAGUAGCACCGCGACCGGAGGUAUGAUGUUGGUUCGAAUCCAACCGUCUGAG
rnacentral:tRNA from 1 species